UGCCGGCGACAAGUCGGAGGAAGGUGGGGAUGACGUCAAAUCAUCAUGCCCUUAUGACCUGGGCUACACACGUGCUACAAUGGGCGGUACAAAGGGCUGCGAACCCGCGAGGGGGAGCGAAUCCCAAAAAGCCGCUCUCAGUUCGGAUUGCAGGCUGCAACUCGCCUGCAUGAAGCCGGAAUCGCUAGUAAUCGCGGAUCAGCACGCCGCGGUGAAUACGUUCCCGGGCCUU
rnacentral:rRNA from 1 species